rnacentral:lncRNA from 1 species
UGCAACAGUCAGCGGCACGAAACGGCGACGGGAAGGGAAACAAACCCCCACGAGCUCCGGCUGCCGAGCAGGCACCACAGCGAGCACAGCCCCCACAACAGGCGACGCCUCCGAGCCCACGGCGCGUCCCGGUGCCGAGCGGCACAGCACGGCACCCCGAGGCACCCGCCGAGCCCGGCACUCGGGGCGCUUCGCGGGUGGGACACGGGGGCAGCGGGGGCAGGUGCAGGGCGGCGGGAGCGCCCAGAAGAGAACGAGGGAGGAGGGGGACGUCCGGCGCCGGUGGGACGCUUAUCCCGACGCGCUCCCCAGCCCCGAGCCCACCCGCCCCGAGCCCCGCAGCCGCCCGCCAGCACUCACCGCUUCGCCGGCCGCCGCGGGACCCUCAGGGCGGCGGGGCCGCCGCGCUCAGCGGCCGCGGCAGCCGGGAGGCGCCCAGGCUGUGCAGCCCGCCACCCGCGCGGGGCGGAGCGGGGCGGGACGGGGCGGGGCGGCCGCGGGCGGGUCCCGGGGCUCUCCCGGCUGCUGGAGCGGAGCCGCUGGGCCGGGGCUGCGGGAGGCGCUGGGACCGAGCGGAGCGGGAUCGUCUCUUUUUUUCUUGCUGUUAUUCUGAUUUGUUUCCUUGUUUCCCCGCUGUGCUCACCGUGUGGAGCUGCCGCACGUUGGGCCCCUUUUGCCCGGUUGCCUCGGGGCACAUCCGCGAUUCUCCCGAGUCCCGUUUCCCCAGGUCGGGAGGAGCGGUGCUGUGCCCGCAACCAGCCCCAGGCACCGGCUCAGCGCGGGAUCCGCCGAUCCGCGUUUAAUCCGGCUCCGUAAACACCACAUCGCUGGGUCUGACAUCCAGCUCCGGCAGGGAGACCAGCACGAAGUGCUGCCAGCUGAGCAGAGCGGGGCCCGGCAGAGCGGGGCGGCUGCGGGCAUCAGCAGCCACCAGCACAGGCCUCGUCAUGAGCCGUCAGAGAUUUGUCCCAUGGCAGCGUGUCCUUCCAGGAAGGUGACACCUUUGGGCCUGACCCUGAACCCUGAAUCACAGAAUCACAGAAUGACCCGGGUUGGAAG